rnacentral:rRNA from 1 species
GAUGAGCGCUAGCGAUAGGCUUAACACAUGCAAGUCGAGGGGCAGUAUAUUCGAAGCUUGCUUUGAAUGAUGGCGACCGGCGCACGGGUGCGUAACGCGUAUGUAACCUGCCUGUCAGAAGGGAAUAACCCGGUGAAAGUCGGACUAAUACCCUAUAUGCUCACGAGAGGCACCUGCCUUGGUGAGGAAAGAUUUAUCACUGACAGAUGGACAUGCGUCCCAUUAGCUUGUUGGUAGGGUAACGGCCUACCAAGGCAACGAUGGGUAGGGGAAGUGAGAGGUUUAUCCCCCACAUUGGUACUGAGACACGGACCAAACUCCUACGGGAGGCAGCAGUGAGGAAUAUUGGUCAAUGGGCGCAAGCCUGAACCAGCCACGUCGCGUGAGGGAAGACGGUCCUAAGGAUUGUAAACCUCUUUUGUACGGGAAUAAAAUACCCACGAGUUGGGGAAUUGCAUGUACCGUACGAAUAAGCAUCGGCUAACUCCGUGCCAGCCGCCGCAGUAAAAC